rnacentral:rRNA from 1 species
GGUGAACGCUGGCGGCAGGCCUAACACAUGCAAGUCGAACGGCAGCACCGUCAGAGCUUGCUCUUACGGGGGGCGAGUCGCGGACGGGGGAGGGAUACAUCUGAACCUCCUUUUUCUUGGGGGAGAACGUCGGGAAACUUACGCUAAUACCGCAUACGACUUACGCGUGAAAGCAGGCGAUCUUCAGAACUUGUGUGUUUGAAUGGGCUGGUGUCGGAUCUGCUAGGUUGCGGGGUAAGGGCCCACCAAGGCAACGCUCCGUUGCUGGUCUGAGAGGAUGGGAAGGCACACUGGAACUGAGCCGCGGUCCAGACUCCUACGGGAGGCGGCGGUGGGGAGUAGUGGACAAUGGGCGCAAGGCUGAUCCAGCCAUACCGAGUGGGGGGAGGAGGGCCUCGGGUUUUGAAGCCCUUUUGUUGGGAUAGAAAAGUAGCAGGUUAGUACCGCGCUGUUCUGACGGUACCCUAAGAAUAAGCACCGGCUAACUUCGUG